UUGCAGUUGAAGCAGGAAAGAGUAACACAAGGAAUAAUGAUUGAGCACCAGAAACAGACAAGCGAGGUCCUGGGAAUAGAGCAUAAACACAGGAAAAGCAAACUCCAUUCUGGCUUGGGGGGACCUUGACUAAGCUUUGACAAAUGUGCACAGACUCCCAAGAGGAUCCAAGCCUUCAAAUCCAGGUUCAAACAGACAUGUCACCGGUUGUCCCAGAUCCUGCUACAAACACAGUAAGAAACAUACAGGGCAGGAUUAAG